rnacentral:tRNA from 1 species
GGUAAAGUCAGCUAAUAAAGCUCUUGGGCCCAUACCCCAAAAAUGCAGGUUAAUAAUCCUUCCUUUACCA